UACGGGGGGGCAAGCGUUGUUCGGAAUUACUGGGCGUAAAGGGCUCGUAGGUGGCCAACUAAGUCAGACGUGAAAUCCCUCGGCUUAACCGGGGAACUGCGUCUGAUACUGGAUGGCUUGAGUUUGGGAGAGGGAUGGCGGAAUUCCAGGUGUAGCGGUGAAAUGCGUAGAUAUCUGGAGGAACACCGGUGGCGAAGGCGGCAUCCUGGACCAAUACUGACACUGAGGAGCGAAAGCCAGGGGAGCAAACGGG
rnacentral:rRNA from 1 species